AAACGAGAAGCACCUUACCAGGUCUUGACAUACUGAUGUUAUUCGUAGAGAUAUGAAGUUCUUUGGGGACACGGGAUACAGGUGGUGCAUGGUUGUUGUCAGCUCGUGUCGUGAGAUGUUGGGUUAAGUCCCGCAACGAGCGCACCCCCUAUUUUUAGUUCCCAUCAUUAAGUUGGGCACUCUAACGAGACUGCCGGUGAUAAACCGGAGGAAGGUGGGGAUGACGUCAAAUCAUCAUGCCCCUUAUGACCUGGGCUACACACGUGCUACAAUGGAUGGUACAACGAGUCGCGAGACAGUGAUGUUUAGCUAAUCUCUUAAAACCAUUCUCAGUUCGGAUUGUAGUCUGCAACUCGCACUACAUGCAAGUGCGGAAUCGCCUAGUAAU
rnacentral:rRNA from 1 species